UAACACAUGCAAGUCGAGGGGCAGCAUGGUCUUAGCUUGCUAAGGCUGAUGGCGACCGGCGCACGGGUGAGUAACACGUAUCCAACCUGCCGUCUACUCUUGGCCAGCCUUCUGAAAGGAAGAUUAAUCCAGGAUGGCAUCAUGAGUUCACAUGUCCGCAUGAUUAAAGGUAUUUUCCGGUAGACGAUGGGGAUGCGUUCCAUUAGAUAGUAGGCGGGGUAACGGCCCACCUAGUCAACGAUGGAUAGGGGUUCUGAGAGGAAGGUCCCCCACAUUGGAACUGAGACACGGUCCAAACUCCUACGGGAGGCAGCAGUGAGGAAUAUUGGUCAAUGGGCGAUGGCCUGAACCAGCCAAGUAGCGUGAAGGAUGACUGCCCUAUGGGUUGUAAACUUCUUUUAUAAAGGAAUAAAGUCGGGUAUGCAUACCCGUUUGCAUGUACUUUAUGAAUAAGGAUCGGCUAACUCCGUGCCAGCAGCCGCGGUAAUACGGAGGAUCCGAGCGUUAUCCGGAUUUAUUGGGUUUAAAGGGAGCGUAGAUGGAUGUUUAAGUCAGUUGUGAAAGUUUGCGGCUCAACCGUAAAAUUGCAGUUGAUACUGGAUGUCUUGAGUGCAGUUGAGGCAGGCGGAAUUCGUGGUGUAGCGGUGAAAUGCUUAGAUAUCACGAAGAACUCCGAUUGCGA
rnacentral:rRNA from 1 species